rnacentral:misc_RNA from 1 species
AGUGGUGGAGGAGCAGCAGUGUUUACAAGCGUCAGCUGACCCGCCUCCUCCAGCCUUGUGUAGGUUACCGAGACAACUGUAACUCUUUUUAAAUGUGCGAUGGUUUUAUAGAAGUUUAUGAAAAAGUAAAAAGUCCAGAACAAAUAUGAUUUAGAAGAUGAGUCGUUCAAGUGGCUCCCCAACAAGUUUGACUGAGUUUGGGCCUCUAACUCCUGAUGAAAAGCCUCAGGGUUAUGGAUUUUCAUUUUCGAAGCUCUUUCAGAGAGCAGUUCGAGGAGCAACAGGUACAUCAAAAUUGAGCAAUUCAUCAGAUCAACCGAAGCAAGAUCACCCUAACCAAGUUGGGAGCAACAGAGAAUCCGACCACCAACCUGUGUUACGAUCAGAUUCUUUAGAUGGAGGACAAGGUUGGCUUGAUAAGGGGAUGAAUGAUACAGCAAGUGUGAGCUCAGAGACAUCAGUUACAUCAUCUGCUGCUUCAGUCAUUAGUAAGGUUGGACCAUCAUCAGGACAUGAUCGAACACUGCCAAAUGUUCUCACCAGGAUAAGGAACAUCAUAGAUAAUCGAGGGUCUACGCCUCAACAGUACAAAGAUUCUGACUUCAAGCAGUAUUGGCUACCGGAUAGUGUAAGUCGAGAAUGUUACGAAUGCGAAGAAAAGUUUACCACAUUCCGUCGAAGACACCACUGCAGAGUUUGUGGUCAGAUCUUUUGUUCAAGAUGUUGUAAUAGUAUGAUUCCAGGAAAGAUCAUUGGAUACACUGGUGAACUGCGAGUUUGCACAUAUUGUUGCAAAGUAGUCUUGUCAUAUCUCCAGUCAAGCAACUUGGCUGUUGAUGUAUUGGCAGAUCUGCGGGCAUUACAGGAGGAGUUACUGCCACCCACACCUGGUCAGUCUUUGGGCACAAAUUAUCAGGAUGCCUCAUUUUACAGCUUUUCAGGAUCAAAUACUCCUUUAGCAACACCUAGGGGAACACUCCGCAGGCGGGCCUCACUUGGUUUCCAAGAAGAGAAAUAUGCCACCAGAACUAGAUAUUCAAGUGGAGAUUUCCAAGCAUUUGGAGUUCACCGGGACAGUGACCAGAUGACUGCAGAACGGCAAUUGUUGUUGAGAGAUUCACAGCAGCUUCACUCUCUGUGGUCACACAUGGCCGGAGGGACUGGAUGUCUUCCAUUGGGUUCUCAUCGACAUCGUCUUAAAUCAUUCCACAACUGUUUCAUAGGAAGGGAUCUUGUACAGUGGCUCCUUGUUAAUGACAAAGCAUCUAGUAGAGCCUCAGCAGUAGCCAUUGGUCAAGCUCUUUUAGAAGCAGGUUAUCUGGUGUGCAUAUCACAGCCAGAGCAGGUGUUUGUCGAUGACUAUGUAUUGUAUCGUCCAAUGCGUCCAAACUGUGGAAAUUCAGAACCAGGGGUGCAAGAGGGUUUGAGUCGUACCCAAGAUGGUGGGCAAGAACCACUUUGGGUGAAGCAGAUUUCUAAUAUGGCUGAAGAUUCUGUGACCACAAGGGGAACGACUAGUAGUAAUAUGAUCUAUGAAGAACCUGACCAUAGUGUGGAAACACCAAAUUCCAUUACCUCGUCCACCUCGAACUACUGUUUGGAUCUGAACCUUCAGGACAAUGUUGUCUCUAUGAGAAAGCCUCUAAAUAUAUCCAGCAGACGAAGCAGCAUGGGUAGUGAUGUGGUUGACAGCAAGAGUUCUAGAGUUAGUCCCUUAGAAGAGGCACCAUAUUCCACAACAGUUUCUGCUGCACUCAGUGCCAGUGCUCAGCUGUCACUGUCCAGGGAGGCUCUGGUGGCAACCACUGCAGUCAUGGCUGAGGAAGUGUUACAGGCUCUGCGAGGUCAUGAUGGAAAACAGUCUCAGGCAAGAUCGGGCUGGCAAGAAGAAGGAAAUCACAGUUUGGAUAAUGAAGAAAUGGCUGUUCAUCAGAGACUAGAUGCUAUGUGGGGAUCUCAUGAAACUGCCCUUCUGUGUCAACUUCUUGAUUCAGGUGGCUUAUCAUCAUCUUGGGCAGAAGUAAUCCUGCCCAUUGUACACACUGUCACAGAUAUUAUCCGUCCAGAUGUCAAAAAUGACAGUGAUGAUAUGGAUAUACGGCAAUAUGUGCAGUUUAAAAAAGUUCCAGGGGGCAGUCGGAGUGAAUGUGAAAUACUAAAUGGAGCUGUGUGUACUAAAAACGUUGCAGACAAAUCCAUGGCUAUACGACUUAUAGACCCACAAAUUCUAUUGGUUGCUUCUACUAUAGACUAUCAACGAGGAAAUGACAAUAAGCUUCUAGCCCUUGACAAUCUUUUGCUGCAGGAAGCAGACUAUCUCAAGAAUGUUGUAGCAAAGAUUGUUUCCUACAAACCAGAUAUUAUCUUGGUUGAGAAGAGUGUUGCGUUCCUGGCACGAGAAUUCCUACAGGCUCAUGGUAUAACGCUAGUCAUGAAUGUCAAGCCAUCCGUAAUGGAGCGAGUAGCAAGAUGUACUCAAGCAGAAUUAGUAUCUUCAAUUGAUGCUCAAUUGACAAGACCUACAUUAGGAAUGUGUCACAAUUUUUAUGUGAGAUGUUAUUCUGUUUAUGGAAAAAACAAGCUAAAAACUUUAAUGUUCUUUGAUGGUUGUGCCACUCACUUGGGAUGUACUGUGAUUCUGCGGGGUGCCUCGAAUGCAGAACUUAAACGUGUGAAAAAAAUUAUGUAUUUUAUGAUAUAUGCAGUGUAUAACUGGAAACUGGAAAGAUCAUUUUUAAUUGACGAGUUCAUCUUAAUACCUCCGCUUCCAUCUGAAAGCUUUGACCUAGAAGACCAGGUAUUUGAGGAUGAACAUGAUCAGAAUGUGAAAUCUGGGGAUGUUGGCUCUGAAGAAAUCUCAGGGAAGAAUUCUGAUGAAUGUGAAGAUAAAAGUAAGAAUGAUCUUGAAGCCAGUAAUGAUUCUGCAAUCUCAACACUGUGUCUGGAAAAUAAUAUAAAUCAGUUAUUUAAAGAGUGUUUAGAAAAGGAUUCUGUCUGCUCCUCAGUUGAAACUCCUGUAUCAGUAGCUGGAACGUCAGACAAGGCAAAGUUGUCUCAAACAAUCAGUGAUUUCAGUGACCCAUUACAUUCGUAUCUUAAUUUAGGUGUUUCUCCACAAGAUGGCCCUCUUGAGUCUUUGCAUCACUCCUUCUCAGUAACCGAGUUGCCAUUCUCUAAUAGUUUCAGAAAAGCACUGGACGAGACUAUAUUCUCAUGUUCUCCUUAUUUGAAAUACAGCAUUCCGUACCUUGAAUCGGAAGCUGGGAGAAACUGCUUGUUACGAAAAUAUUUCCAGAAAAGCCUAUAUUUUUCUGUUCAAUUAGAAAAAGACAAUUUUAUGCGCCGCCCAAGAUUUUCAGAAAUGGAUGCAAAGGAACUUAAGGAUGAAAAUCAGAAUGUUGAAAUUAGAUUAGCACAUGAAUUCACCAAAUUAAAACUAACAAAAGAAGCUUGUGAUAAAGAUUUCCGAGGAGUUUUAGCAGACUUCAGGGCAAGGGGCGGGCAGAUGAGAAAUAUCUGCAGGUGUGAGGGAUCUUUCACACAGCCAAAGGACCAGAGGCAUAUACUUAGUAAUUUAUCACAGGAAAAAUCAGAAUCUCAUGGACAAGUUAUUGUCGAGGGGCUUUCCAUUGAUGGUUCAGGGUCCACAUCCAAUAUGGUUACCACCAACAACAAUAAUAACAACAAACAAAAUAUGAGUAACUUCUGGAAUGGACAGAGUGGCCUGAUGCUUACCUCUGAUGGCCGAGUGGAUGCCCUUCACCCUUUCAACCACCAGCGAUUAUCUCUUCUUUUCUCCAGCUAUUCCCAGUCAUCUGAGUCACCCCCUGCUUUCUGUGUUAAUCCUUGGGUUUUGACGAUGGAUUUUUAUGGAAGGAAUGAUAUUCCUCUUGGGGCCUUCCUGGAACGCUAUUGUUUUUGCCCCACAUAUCAGUGCCCAUCUAGUCAGUGUUCUGUAGCAGUGAUUGAUCAUAUUCGAAAGUUUGUUCAUGACACUGGUUGUGUGGAUGUUCUGCUGAGACGUCUUGAUACCGUCCUAGAUGACUCCAACUCAGGAUCAAUACUAAUGUGGAGUUGGUGCAAAAUAUGUCGUCAGGUUACUCCUGUGGUGCCCAUGUCAUUAGAAACAUGGUCACUGUCCUUUGCCAAAUAUCUGGAGCUGCGAUUCUAUGGUGGCAGUUUUACAAGGCGUGGAAUACCUGGCUGCCCUCAUUCUCUUCACCAUGAUCACUUUCAGUAUUUUGGAUUUAAAAAUCAAGUAGCAGUUUUUAAAUACAUUGGCAUUACAUUACGAGAAAUUGCUCUGCCACCAUCCGAGAUGAAUCUGUGCAUCCCUCCCAUUACUCAAUCAUCUGUUGUGGAGCUCAUCAAAGGUGUUGCUAUACAGGGCUACUCUGUCUUCUCUACAAUUUUUGAACGUGUUACAACACUGUCUUCAGAAUGUGGAAGUCGAUGGGAGCCUCUAAUUUUGGAAAUCACCGAGCAUCAGAAUAAACAACGCUUUACAUUCAGAGAGAAGAUUGAAAGCAUUCAGCUGCAGCUAACUUCACCGACAUUAGAGGCUCGUCGACUUCAUCCUCCCACACCCAACACAACUCAUGAAGUUGCCACAACAAUGCUAGCAAUAACAGAUCAAGUUAUUCUGAUCAAAAGGCUUAUUGCUCAAGUUGUCAGUGACUGGAAUGUUAAGGUUCAAGAUCUUGUACAGCUUCGUAAAAGAGAGGAGAAAUUAGAGAAAGCAAAAGUAAUGGCAACCAACAGUGGAGGAAGUGGUUUGCCUCGACAAUCUACAAGUACUUCUAUAUCAACCUCCUCGGCUGCAUCAGCUCAUGCCACCUCUUCCACAGGUGAAAUGUUCAGUGCACAGUCUCAUAAGCAGGGUGGCGAUACUGCUUCCGUAGCAUCUUCUGCUGCCUUGACUGGUCUCUCGACUGAUUCCCUCAGUUUGUCAGCCUCCUUCAGUGAACUACCUGGUCAAGAACCUUCUAAAUAUACCUCAAAUGAUGCUGUUGAAGAUGUGAUUGAUGAAGGACCUGCAGUCAGUGGCCAGUCAUCACCCAUCCCUCAGCCACAUGAAGCACAGGAUACAAGAAGGCUUCCAGGAGAAACAAGAGAGAAUUUUCAAAAGGCAGUAGGAAUUGUGUGUGAGACGCCUUCUGCUGUGUGCCUAACGGAGGAGAGGGAUCGCACCCUACGGGCCUUGGAUGCCCUCACUACCACCACCAAAUCACCACCACAUUCAGGCAACAGUGUCCUAUCAUUGUCUUCAGCAUCUAGUGAAAUACUUAAUAGCUGGGAGAAUGAAAGUGACGUCAGUGGAGGAUUGCAAGCUAUUCUCCCUCAUCAGGUGACAGACGCUUCUUCAGUGCUGCACCGCAGACAAGCAUCAGAUUCGUGUGAAGGGCUGAUUGGUGGAUAUUCAUCUACAUCUGGAUCACCCGGCCGAGGUCAUGAAAGAUCAUUGUCUGACGGAGGUCAGACUGGCUUACCUCGAGAUACUGGAGACCGCACUGCAGAGAGAAGACUUGCUGCCACAACAGUUAAAAAUAUAAUUUCAACUUUUUGGACUGCCUCUGCCAACUUAAUGGUUGAGUCUCCAUUUGGUGCUAAUGAACACUACCUACUAAUGCCAGAAGUAAAGAUCCCAAUAGUUGUAUAUGGAGAUGAACCUUCUUCCAUUAUUGCUCAUGCACUGGCUUCUCAGGAAUAUGAUAAACAACUAACAGCACUCAAGAAGAGACUUAAAGAAAUGCAAAAAGAAGUAAUAGUACUUAGGUCAGGAGAAAAAGAGUUGCUGCCUCAAGUAGAUGGGAUAACCGAAAUCUCCAGUGUUGAAGAUUCCGAGUUCUGCAUCUCUACUGCUGCUGCUACCGAUUCAGAGAAAAAUAAGUUGGCCAAGGACUUACACAUAGAACUGCAGUGGAAUGACCAGCAUGCAAAGUUUUACUAUGUUCUUUGCCGAGCACUUUCGACAACUCCGUAAGAUGGUAUUUCCUUUUGGAGAAGAAUUUUAUAUACGUUCUCUUUCCCGCUGUAUCCUCUGGGAAGCACGGGGUGGUAAAUCUGGAUCGGUCUUCUGCAAAUCACAUGAUGAUCGUUUUAUUUUGAAAGAAAUGUCACGCUUUGAGAUGAGCUCAUUUCUUGACUUUGGGCCUGCAUAUGUACAGUAUAUUGUGAAUUGUGAGAAGGAACAGCAGCCAACCAUCUUAACAAGGAUUGUAG